UACGUAGGGUGCAAGCGUUGUCCGGAAUUAUUGGGCGUAAAGAGCUCGUAGGCGGUCUGUCGCGUCGGCUGUGAAAACUCGGGGCUCAACUCCGAGCUUGCAGUCGAUACGGGCAGGCUAGAGUUCGGCAGGGGAGACUGGAAUACUUGGUGUAGCAGUGAAAUGCGUAGAUAUCAAGUGGAACACCAGUGGCGAAGGCGAGUCUCUGGACAUUUCCUGACGCUGAGGCACGAAAGCCAGGGGAGCAAACGGG
rnacentral:rRNA from 1 species